rnacentral:rRNA from 1 species
GAUGAACGCUGGCGGCGUGCUUAACACAUGCAAGUCGAACGGGAUCCCAGGGGUGCUUGCACUUUUUGGUGAGAGUGGCGAACGGGUGAGUAACACGUGAGUAACCUGUCCUUUUCUUUGGGAUAAGCAUUCGAAAGGGUGUUUAAUACCUUAUGUUCUGUCUGCCUCGCAUGGGGUGGGUGGGAAAGGCUUUGGCCGGAUUUGGGUGGGCUCGCGGUCUAUCAGCUUGUUGGUGGGGUGAUGGCUUACCAAGGCUUUGACGGGUAGCCGGCCUGAGAGGGUGGGAGGGCAUAUAGGGACUGAGUGAGGGCCCAGACUCCUGCGGGAGGCAGCGGUGGGGGAUAGUGGAGAAUGGGCGAAAGCGGGAUGCAGCGAGGCCGCGUGGGGGAGGAAGGCGUUUGGGUUGUAAACUUCUGUUGCUCUGAACAGGGCAUGCCAGAGGGUGUGUGAAGUGUAGGGGUGGAUUAGCGCCGGCUAACUACGUG